rnacentral:rRNA from 1 species
AUGAAGGCCUUCGGGUCGUAAACCUCUUUCGAUCGGGAAAAACGGCUCUGUGAAGAACAGGGUCUGAUGGUACCGGAAGAAGAAGCCCCGGCCAACUACGUGC